AAACAAUGGUGUGGUCACUGAUUGGUGUAGCUUCUAAACCUCUCCCAAGCUUCUCCCUAGCUUCCCCAAAGCUUUCAUUGUUAUGUUGCUUGAAAGCUUGAAAUUGGUUUCUCAGCUU
rnacentral:snoRNA from 1 species